rnacentral:misc_RNA from 1 species
GGAUAUGUCAAAAAUUUAUUAGAAGGGAGAGAUGCCGUGAAGCAGGGUAUUAGACGGAAUAUGAGAGGCUGUCUUGCUUGAAUAUCUGGAAUGAGCCUUGGGCGCCAUCUCUUCCUAACUUUAAGAUUGGCAGCCCUCGUCCCCCAGAUUCCCCUAUUCUGCAUAUAGCAGAUUUACUGAAGCCUGGAGUGCACCAAUGAGUUGAAGAAAUUCUCUAUGCUAAUUUCUCUCCAAAUGAAUGUGUUGAAGUCUUGAAGAUCCCCUCAGUUUUUCUGUCAGGGAAGUAGUUACAGUUUGGCAUUUUGCUAAGAAAGGCAUUCCCACUAUGAAAGAAGUUUACCAUCUUAAACAGCAUAUGAAAAUGAAUGUUAAAAGUAAUCAGUCAUCCUUCCGAGAGUAUGAUAACGUGUGGAAGAGCAUAUGGUUGCUGAAAGUUCCCCCAAAGAUAAGAACUUUUAUUUGGAGGACUUGCAAGAAUUCACUAGCCACGAGAGAAAAUUUGUACAAAAGAAAUUGUGUUUCAGAUCCCUGGUGCCCUCUUUGUAAUUGCCGAAAUGAAUCUGGAGCAAGUAUUGUUUUUUCUGUAAUCUUGCAAGAGCAGUAUGGUUCGGGUCACAUCUUAGGUUUUAUCUUUGAGAGGAUGGUCUCCAAUCAUUUGCAAAUUGGUGGCAUCGUAUUAUCUCUUUUGAUAGUCAAAAUGGUAACAAGGAAUUUCAACUAGCUGCCUUCUUAUGCU